AUCUUUUUGAAUCCGUUCUGAGAUUUCGUCAAACAACAACUCAUUUGUACUGAUCAGACUUCCAAGAUAAGUGAAGUU
rfam:Schistosoma haematobium scaffold247_45, whole genome shotgun sequence.